rnacentral:rRNA from 1 species
UACGGGGGGGGGCAAGCGUUGUUCGGAAUUACUGGGCGUAAAGGGCUCGUAGGCGGCCAACUAAGUCAGACGUGAAAUCCCUCGGCUUAACCGGGGAACUGCGUCUGAUACUGGAUGGCUUGAGUUUGGGAGAGGGAUGCGGAAUUCCAGGUGUAGCGGUGAAAUGCGUAGAUAUCUGGAGGAAUACCGGUGGCGAAGGCGGCAUCCUGGACCGACAUUGACGCUGAGGAGCGAAAGCUAGGGGGAGCAAACGGG